rnacentral:rRNA from 1 species
AUUGAACGCUGGCGGCAGGCUUAACACAUGCAAGUCGAACGGUAACAUAGAGAAGCUUGCUUCUUUGAUGACGAGUGGCGGACGGGCGAGUAAUGCUUGCGAAUCUGGCUUAUGGAGGGGGAUAACUACGGGAAACUGUAGCUAAUACCGCGUAAUAUCGCAUGAUUAAAGUGUGGGACCUUCGGGCCACAUGCCUUAGGAUGAGCCCAAGUGGGAUUAGGUAGUUGGUGAGGUAAAGGCUCACCGAGCCGACGAUCUCUAGCUGGUCUGAGAGGGUGACCAGCGACACUGGCACUGAGACACGGACCCGACUCCUACGGGAGGGAGCAGUGGGGAAUAUUGCGCAAUGGGAGCAACCCUGAGGCAGCCAUGGCGCGUGAAUGAAGAAGGCCUUCGGGUUGUAAAGUUCUUUCGGUAGCGAGGAAGGUGGUUAGUUUAAUAGGCUAGCCAAUUGACGUGAACUUCAGAAGAAGCACCGGCUAACUUCGUG